rnacentral:lncRNA from 1 species
UAGCAGAGAAUCCCUCUGCUAGGGUUUCAUGUUCAUAUACCGCCGCCGUUCAAGCCAUUCCCAUGGCCUCCAUCGAUGCCUCGAUCUCCAAUCGCGACGGAGAGGGCACCAACUCGGCAAUUCCGACGAAAAGGUAAGUUUUCUCUUACUUUUCUUCUUUUUAUUUAGGCAAAAAUAAAUAAAUAAAUAAAUAAAUAGAGAAAAUAAAAAAUAAUAUAUAUAUAAAUGAAAAAUAAAAGAACGAUAAUCAACAAGGUAAAACAGAGAGAAAAAAAACACCUUUUCUGUCAAAAAGAAAAUUUUGUAUUUGUAUUUAGUUUUUCUUUCGGUCUCCCCCCCUUUUACAGUAUAUUCAAUGACUCUUAUAGCCAUAAUGAGAAAAAUAUAAAGAAAUAAAUUUGUUCUUAUUGAUUUGAUUUUGCAAAUCUCUGAUUUUGUUUCCUUUUUUGCGUUUGUUCCUUGCAGGUGAAGAUCGCGUGGAGAUGAUUGCGGCGGCUGAAGAUUAGAAAACCCUAGGGUUUCUGUCACUAUUUUGGGCCACCGGAUUUGGGCCUUUGUUUUAUUUCAAUUUGGGCCUUGUAUUUGUAGGCCGGGUAAAAUUUCGGUAUUACAAAUAGCAUCAACAAUAUGCACAACAUUGGGUUUUUUCA